GCCUGGGUGGUUCAGCUGAUAGAGCGUGAGACUCUUGAUCUCAAGGUUAUGGGCUUGAGCCCCACAUUGGGUG
rnacentral:tRNA from 1 species